AUGCGGGAGAACUAUGAGACAGUGACAUCUCUGGGAUUCCCCCUUCCCAAACCAGACCUGAUCACCCGGCUGGAACAAGGGGAAGAGCCGUGGGUGCCCAAUCUCCAGGCCUGCGAGGAAAGAGAGAUCCCGAGAGGCGCCCGCACAGCACAAUAACUCCUGUCUGGAUUGUCUCUCUCCCAGCAGGUGAUGAGAGAAUGAGUGAGAACGAGGAGGGGAAUCAACAGCAGGAAGUUCCUGGACACGGGGAAUCACAGGGGACCUCUGUGGGAAGCCCCCAUCUGUGCUUAGACUGUGGAAAAAGUUUCAUAUGGAGGUCAACCCUACUUGAUCAUCAGGCAGUCCACACUGGAGAGAGACCCCAUAAGUGCUUAGACUGCGGAAAA